rnacentral:lncRNA from 1 species
UAUGCAAAGAGUUGCUCUAUGACAUAACAGUGACAGCCAACACUUCUGCAGCGCUUACCCCGUGCCAGGCUCUGUUCUCAGUACUUUCCUGUUUUGACCCACUUGAUCCAAACCACAGCUUGGAGAUAGUUUCGAUCAUUAUCACUUCCAUUGUGGACUUUAGAAAAUUGCAUCACAAAGAGUUCAAGUCACCUGCCUAAGCUGGUGGAAUUAGGCAGCACAGUUAGACUCAAACUAGGCCUCCAGGGUUGGAGGCUUACCUGCCACAACGUGCCAUCUUUCCAUGAGCCUAACAGGAUGGCAGGCAGGUGGCCUUGCUUCCCAGCAGUAACACUAACAAAGCUGCCAGCCCUUCAUCUCAUCACCACAAAACGGGGGUCCUGAGGGACCAUCCAAAUCCAGUGGACCUACACUGCCCUCCCCAGAGAAGCAUGCUUUAUAACAGUACCUGAAGGACCAUUCAGAGAAAUACCAGAACACACAGAGUUGCUGCUGACUUUUUUUGGAUACAUUAUGGAGUGGGAAGAAGAUAGGGUUUGACAGCUAGCUACAAACAAGAAGCUGGCAGUGGUCCUCAGGAGUGGGAAUAUGGUAUGAAGAUGCAACCAAUGGCUCUCCCACAUCUGAUAGAUUUAAAAGGGCAGUUAUAAGUAUGAUGAUUUACAUGGCAAACCUGGAAGCAAUUUUGGAUGUGGUAAUGGCUACAGGACUGGUGAAAAAGGGCCUGCUCAGAAAGACAGUGUGAAGAACAACUGGAAGGACCAGAGCUUCAGGUCCAGAUGCCAGGACUCACCAGGGAGUGAAGGAAAAGGAAGAGCAUGGAACAAUGCUAUAGUGAUGAUUCUGGGGACUGAAAAGAAUGACCUUUUUAUUUUUCUCAUUUACAAAUUUUGAAAGCUGAACGUGGAAAGUUCUUAGGUAAAAAUAAUUUCAUUUUAGAUUUGUGGAAUAUUAUUCCAUUCCUGCUUAGUAACUCUAAUUCAACCCAUUAAUUGGGCAAAGGAUGCUGUUCCUUAGGCUGAUGAACACAGGAUGCCCCAUGAGUCUUUUCAAGUAUAUGGACAAAAUCAUAUUUUCUGCAAUUCUAAGAUUUUAGAGACCAUCAAAAAUAAGCAAAAGCACUUAACAAUACAUAUUUAGACUACUG